GACGAACGCUGGCGGCGUGCCUAAUACAUGCAAGUCGAACGCUUCUUUCCUCCCGAGUGCUUGCACUCAAUUGGAAAGAGGAGUGGCGGACGGGUGAGUAACACGUGGGUAACCUACCCAUCAGAGGGGGAUAACACUUGGAAACAGGUGCUAAUACCGCAUAACAGUUUAUGCCGCAUGGCAUAAGAGUGAAAGGCGCUUUCGGGUGUCGCUGAUGAAUGGACCCGCGGUGCAUUAGCUAGUUGGUGAGGUAACGGCUCACCAAGGCCACGAUGCAUAGCCGACCUGAGAGGGUGAUCGGCCACACUGGGACUGAGACACGGCCCAGACUCCUACGGGAGGCAGCAGUAGGGAAUCUUCGGCAAUGGACGAAAGUCUGACCGAGCAACGCCGCAUGAGUGAAGAAGGUUUUCGGAUCGUAAAACUCUGUUGUUAGAGAAGAACAAGGACGUUAGUAACUGAACGUCCCCUGACGGUAGCUAAACAGAAAGCCACGGCUAACUACGUG
rnacentral:rRNA from 1 species